rnacentral:rRNA from 1 species
CGGCNGNGNGGNNGCUACCAUGCAGUCGAGCGAUGAUCCGGUGCUUGCACCGGGGAUUAGUGGCGAACGGGUGAGUAACACGUGAGUAACCUGCCCUUGACUCUGGGAUAAGCCUGGGAAACCGGGUCUAAUACCGGAUACGACCUUUCACCGCACGGGGGUUGGUGGAAAGAUUUUUUGGUUUUGGAUGGACUCGCGGCCUAUCAGCUUGUUGGUGAGGUAAUGGCUCACCAAGGCGACGACGGGUAGCCGGCCUGAGAGGGUGACCGGCCACACUGGGACUGAGACACGGCCCAGACUCCUACGGGAGGCAGCAGUGGGGAAUAUUGCACAAUGGGCGAAAGCCUGAUGCAGCGACACCGCGUGAGGGAUGACGGCCUUCGGGUUGUAAACCUCUUUCAGCAUGGAAGAAGCGAAAGUGACGGUACCUGCAGAAGAAGCGCCGGCUAACUACGUGCCAGCAGCCGCGGUAAUACGUAGGGCGCAAGCGUUGUCCGGAAUUAUUGGGCGUAAAGAGCUCGUAGGCGGUUUGUCGCGUCUGCUGUGAAAGCCCGGGGCUCAACCCCGGGUCUGCAGUGGGUACGGGCAGACUAGAGUGCAAUAGGGGAGACUGGAAUUCCUGGUGUAGCGGUGAAAUGCGCAGAUAUCAUGAGGAACACCGAUGGCGAAGGCAGGUCUCUGGGCUGUAACUGACGCUNAGGAGCGAAAGCAUGGGGAGCGAACAGGAUUAGAUACCCUGGUAGUCCAUGCCGAACACGAUGGGCACUAGGUGUGGGGGACAUUCCACGUUUUCCGCGCCGUAUCUACGCAUUAUGUGCCCCGCCUGGGGAGUACGGCCGCAAUAGCUAAUACUCACAGGAAUUGACGGGGGCACCGACACGAGCGUGCAGGAGCAUGCGCAUUAAUCUCGAUGCAACGCGGAGAAACCUGUAGCUAUGACUUCGACAUGGACCGGACCAGCCNCACAAAUGCGGUUAUCCUCUUUCGGANCUGGCUUUACNNGUAGGUGCUAUCGCCUUGUCGGUCAGCUCGUGUCANGAGAUGCUGNNANUUCCAGCACGANUCGCAACCCUUCGGUUCUAUGNUGCCAGCACGUUAUGGACGCGUA